rnacentral:misc_RNA from 1 species
AUUGUAACUACUCAUGAAAACUGAUCACUGAUCUAGUUCUUGAGUACCCAUUUCCAGCUUUAAGGAGAGAACACAAAUAAACUUUGAAGCUCACAAUGAGCUCUAGUUUCAACAACUAGAUUUGGAAAAAGUUAAUUCACUUGAGUAAUUGACUAAUAUUUUAAAUUAUUUCAAAACCAACCUCCAGAACCUUUCCCCUACUUGUAGUUCGAACUAUUACUCAAUAAACUUAAAUUUAUAUAACGAAUGGAUAAUUCAAUAUUAAAUUAUCAAAAUUUUCCCUGAAAGCUCCAAAUUUACUAGCAA